AUGCUUAACAGUCCCAAUAUUUUUAUACAUGGCAGGCAGCAUCAGAAUGGCUUAUGUUGUUCCUUGGGGCAUUCGGAAGGUUCUUAAUUACAUUGCAAAAACAUACAUGAUCCCCCUUUUUUGUCACUGAAAAUGGUAUGGACGACGAAGACAAUGACACAUCCCCACUCCAUGAAAUGCUUGAUGACAAAUUGAGAGUUCGGUACUUUAAGGAAUACCUAGCUGCAGUCUCUCGGGCAUUAAGGACGGAGCAGAUGUGAGGGGAUACUUUGCAUGGUCAUUGUUAGACAACUUUGAGUGGGCUCAAGGUUAUACCAAACGUUUCGGUUUGGUUUAUGUUGAUUACAAGAAUGGUCUUGCCAGGCAUCCCAAAUCUUCAGCUUACUGGUUCUUGCACUUUUUGAAAGGCGGUGAAGAUAAGAAUGGCAAAGAAGAGUAAUUGACUGUACUUAUUAUAUACUGCUAGUCACCCUACUGAAUAAUUUGUCUUGACCAAAUAAAGCCUAUGAACUAUCUUAGCUUUAUUUAUGUGUUCUGACUCUUUAAUGCCUUACUAAGUCUUUCAUUUCA